CGUGGCUUUAGCUGCGUAGCCAUGGACAACUUCAACUUAGUCAGCAGCCGCCUGAGUGGACUAACGUUUUAAGCCAAGGCAGCAGCAGCAGCACGGACUUUGUGCAGUUGAAAGCUCAGAAGCGGUCCCCGUCCCCAACCACACCGCCUGAGGCCGCUGCUUCCCUCACCAUUCAAACACCAACCUGUUCAUGCCAGGAAGGUUACCCCAGAAGUAGCGGGC